rnacentral:lncRNA from 1 species
ACAAGCGGUCCACCUCACGCCCUCCGCGCUUAUCCAAUUAUUUGAUCUUACGAUCGCCUAAUCUUCCAAGCCUUUGGGGACUGACUCAAUGAUUCCUAGAACGAUCUAUGCCUCAUCGUUCUCACAUAGUGGGCCUUGGACAAUGGGGAGUGUAAAAACCCUGGUGUGCCCAUGGCCUCUUUUCCUUUUCCAAGGGAAAACUCUGCCAUCACCUUUCGGUCCACUAAUUUGUAAGUGAUUCCACAUAUCGCUUCUACUAAGACUUAGGAAGAUCCUUGUCCCUAUUGGGCCAGGGGUUCCUACUGGACAUGAUUUUAAGUCAGUCCAUUUACCAUACAUGCUAGACAUUUGCCGUUGAUAGGUUUGGGUUCUAU